rnacentral:misc_RNA from 1 species
AACCAUAGAAACCUGCGGAGUACCUGCGGAAGGAUCAUUACAGAGUUGCAAAACUCCCUAAACCAUUGUGAACGUUACCUAAACCGUUGCUUCGGCGGGCGGCCCGGGUCCUUCCCGGCGCCCAUCGGCCCUCGCGGGCGCCCGCCGGAGGUAAACCAAACUAUUGCAUUGUAUGGCCUCUCUGAGUCUUCUGCACUGAAUAAGUCAAAACUUUUAACAAUGGAUCUCAGAUCGGAAGAG